CUACGUGCCAGCAGCCGCGGUAAUACGGAAGGUCCAGGCGUUAUCCGGAUUUAUUGGGUUUAAAGGGAGUGUAGGCGGUUUGUUAAGCGUGUUGUGAAAUUUAGGUGCUCAACAUUUAACUUGCAGCGCGAACUGGCGAACUUGAGUGCACACAACGUAUGCGGAAUUCAUGGUGUAGCGGUGAAAUGCUUAGAUAUCAUGAAGAACUCCGAUUGCGAAGGCAGCAUACGGGAGUGUAACUGACGCUUAAGCUCGAAGGUGCGGGUAUCGAACAGGAUUAGAUACCCUGGUAGUCCGCACAGUAAACGAUGGAUGCCCGCUGUUAGCGCCUGGCGUUAGCGGCUAAGCGAAAGCAUUAAGCAUCCCACCUGGGGAGUACGCCGGCAACGGUGAAACUCAAAGGAAUUGACGGGGGCCCGCACAAGCGGAGGAACAUGUGGUUUAAUUCGAUGAUACGCGAGGAACCUUACCCGGGCUUGAAUUGCAGAGGAAUUAUUUAGAGAUA
rnacentral:rRNA from 1 species